AACAGGCUUAUCUCCCCCAAGAGUCCACAUCGACGGGGAGGUUUGGCACCUCGAUGUCGGCUCAUCACAUCCUGGGGCUGUAGUAGGUCCCAAGGGUUGGGCUGUUCGCCCAUUAAAGUGGUACGCGCGCUGGGUUCAGAACGUCGUGAGACAGUUCGGUCCCUAUCCGUCGCAGGAGUAGGAAAUUUGAGAAGACCUGUCCUUAGUACGAGAGGACCGGGAUGGACGUACCUCUGGUGUACCAGUUGU
rnacentral:rRNA from 1 species